rnacentral:sRNA from 1 species
GCCGCCAUUAUGAGUAAGAUGUGUUUAAU